rnacentral:lncRNA from 13 species
AUGCUAAAUGCUAACAUAAAGUAUUACUUGUGGUACGGUAAUGCUAACAUGCUAACAUAAAGCAUUACUUGUGGUACAGUAAUGCUAACAUAAAGCAUUGCUUGAGUUACAGUAAUGCUAACAUAAAGCAUUACUUGUGGUACAGUAAUGCUAACAUAAAGCAUUUACUUGUGGUACAGUAAUGCUAACAUGCUAACAUAAAGCAUUACUUGUGGUACAGUAAUGCUAAUGCAGUUAGCAAUAGUACUACCUUCUCC